AUUCCGGCGUUUUACUCUUCUGACCAGUUUCUUCGUUUUCAUAACUCUACUUGAAGAACAUAUGAUGUUUGCCAGUGUCUGACAUUACGGACCUCACAGCUUACUGAAUCUGAAAACAGGAGAUAGAGAUGGAAAGGGACUAUUUACAAGGACUUUCAACUGCCUCCUUCACCCAUCUGGAAAGCCUCAGGAACUUGUUGCAAUAGGGACUGCCAGGUCCC
rnacentral:lncRNA from 1 species